rnacentral:rRNA from 1 species
AUUGAACGCUGGCGGCAUGCUUUACACAUGCAAGUCGGACGCGUGGCGAACGGGUGAGUAACGCAUCGGAACGUACCUAGUAAUGGGGGAUAACUGCCCGAAAGGACAGCUAAUACCGCAUACUAUUCGAGCGGCCGAUGUUUGAUUAGCUGUUGGGCGGGGUAAAGGCUCACCAAGGCGACGAUCAGUAGCUGGUCUGAGAGGAUGAUCCGCCAAACUGGAACUUAGACACGGCCCAGACUCCUACGGGAGGCAGCAGUGGGGAAUAUUGUACAAUGGGCGCAAGCCUGAUGCAGCCAUGCCGCUUGUCGGAAGAAGGCCUUCGGGUUGUAAAGGACUUUUGUCAGGGAUGCGGUACCUGAAGAAGAAGCACCGGCGAACUUCGUGCCAGCAGCCGCGGUAAUUC